UCGUCCUGAAGAGGAAAGGAGAGGUGGAGAGAAAGGGAGGGCACAGGCAGCAAGUUUAGCUGGAGCUACCAGAAGUGCUACCUACACAAAAAACUGCUUUCACUUGCCACCAAUCCCCAGGCAAUACACAGGAUACAAAAUGUACGCUGAAGAAUUUGUGAAGUAAUAGGAUGUCCAGUAUUUGCUUCUAAAUGAUCUAUUGGGCAGAGAGAGAGGCAGGCAGCACGUGAGUGAAGUGAGAGGGAGUGGAAGAGAACAAUGAUGGGAAUGGAAGAAUGAAGAAGAGGUGAGUCCCAACAUGAGAGAAAGAAAAGAAUGGACCUUGAAGCUUUUGCUGGUGGAUGAAGAAGGAAAGACUCUGUACCCAGCACAUGUUUGGCCACGUGACGCGAGAAAAGAUCAAGGAAUUUAACCUUUGAUAUGAGUCAUCUAAAACAAUACAGACAGCAAGACUACCCAUCACAGCCUCUGGAAAAGGCACCUGACUAGACAAGCUUUUGCCUGAUGGAUGUGGACUAAUCUCAAAGAACAAAUGUUUCAUUGUGAAUUAUGUUUUGACCACAUGCCAACAGUUGACAGCAUUUAAAGAACUGCAGAGGUUUUUAAAGAGUUUUUCAAAUGUUCUCAUCACAGAACUCUCCAAGGGCAGAUACACAUUUCAAAAACAACACACUGAAGAAAACACACACAUACACACACACACACACUGACCCAAACAUAGUAAAACGUGAUCACAAAAACAAGUAACUCUUGGUAAAUUUAAUUCUUCAUUGGCCUUUCUACGCACAAACAUCCUACUAUUGGCCUUAACAUCUAACCAAGCCCCAGUUUAUAUAGUAAGAAAUAGGAUAUUCUAAAAUUCUGUCUUCUUAGAAAUCAGUCUUACACACGUGAAAUAGGAAUUUUAUCUACUUAGCAAAUGUAUUUUUCUCAACCAAAUUUUCUGCCCUAAAAGCACCAAUAUCUAUGGAGAACAUAGUAUAAACUAUAAAUUGAGUGUUAUCAUUGACUCUGCUACCUCCCACUUUAGAUAUAUCUUGUAACUGUUUUUGUGAUUUGCCAACAUGGGGUAUAAAAUAAUGCUGAAUCUUUUUUAAAUAUUCAAAUUAAAUAACUCUGAGCUGUACUCUUCUAUUGUGAAAAUGUAUUGCCUCCCUCUCUGGGGUGUCUCACGUCCCAUACUAAAAGAACCCAAAGAGCCUUCCUCUGCUGAAGGUAUCAGUCCCGGUUAUUAUCCUCAUGAUGGAAGAAAACUGGAAAGUAUGAGGGGCUCAUUCACUGAAGAAUGCCAAGAUCUGGUGCAGUUGCUGCUGGUAAAGUGCUUGUGGAAAGCAGGUGGUUUGAUAGUGAGAUUCAGUCUUCGGUCACUGCUGCAAGAACAGUGGUGAUUUAGCACACUUGUGUUUGGCCACCCAUCACUGAAGAAAGGGACCUGGGCACCAAUUCACAUCAAUGCCACUAGUCAGGCAGGAGUUUCUCAAGAUGAAUUAUUUUCCUGAAAGAAUAUACAUAAAAAUAGCAGUCAUUACACAACAAAGGCACACUCUUUAGUUACCUGGCUCAUUCUGAAGAAUCAUACACAUAUGCUUUUCAGAUAUAUGUCUAGAGUACCAGGAAGGGUGCAUCAGGAGGAUACUUAACAGCCUCGACCAUGUCCUGAGCUCUUUCCUUGACAAUCUGGCCUUGGUUCCUUUCUCUCAUAGUGAAUGUACACAUCUGCCAGUUGACCCUCGAUUUGAGCCACCUCAGUUCAUCAGAGAUAAUCUCUUCAUGUUAAUCUGCAAAACAGAGGGUAUUGGAGUCUCCAUUCUCCUUUUUCUAGGAAGCUCUUUGGCUUUUGUGCAAGUUGUUCACUCUUACAACCCAGACACAAAUCCUAGCCAAAGAGAAUGUCUCAGUCAGAGUCCUGACAGCAAAGAGAUGGCACAUGUGCAUACUGAAGAUAGUUCAUAAAAGCACUAUUUAAAGAUGUGGCAGGGGGUGGGGAGGGAAAUGCAAUACCAUACCAGCAACAAAGGAGGGACCUCACCCCCUGUAGGACUGAAGGGCAAGGGGAAAAAGUAGAUCAGUACCUAAAGAGGGUAGGCAUAAGGAGAGGGCUACCUGACAGGAGCUGUGACUUACAGUGGAGAGGCAGGGACAAAACUCACUCUCCAUGACCUGUUAAGAAGAGCUGUAGGAAUAAACACUCCAAACUCAUUCUUCUGCCUUUCUAUCUCCUGCUGGAUGUUUCUGUUGGCCAAAUGCAACAGGAUGCCAGAAGGCAGGGGAUCAUAGACUGCCUGCAAGCCGUCUGGAGUACAGAGCAGAGUAGAAAAGAUGAAUACAAAUGGAGGGGGAGGGAGACUCAGCACAGAAAGCCAGAGGGGAAAUGCUCCAUAUAUUAACAUUAUUCACAGUGCAUUUCACAAACUGGUGCCAGUCUGUGAGGUAUUUGUGGCUGAACUGCCAUGAGAUAAGUACGGAAAUGCACAUUUAGAAAUCUUAAUAGCAACUUAACACAGUCAGCAUUCAAGUACCUGAUCAUUUCAUUAAAUAGGAAAUAGAGCAAUUCAGGAGCUAUUGUUUCCAUGAGGAAAAUUGCUUGUGGCAUGAGCUAGAUUCCAGAGGUGUACAAAUAGGUUUGCGUUGACACAUGAGAUAUUUUAAGGCAAGUGUGUCAACUAUAACUUAAAUAUUUACGAAAGUCUUUUAAAUUGUGAGAAUUUAUUUUUACAACUUACUAUUCUAUCGCUUCAGUUAUUAAACAAGUAAAUAUAUCUAAAUAUUUUUAUUUGGAUAUAAAUUACAUAUUUUUCCUUAUUAGAAAAAUUAAGGACUAAUAUUUGUAUUAACAUUUCCAUGUCUGGUAUUGGCAGAGUAGCUUGUAUUGACUAACCUUUCUUAAAUAAUAAUUUGAAGGCUUUGGAGAGCAAAAGCAGCAGAAACUGGAGGGGAGUCAGUGUUUCAAACCAGAGAACUGAAUUGGAUUAAAUUUGUAAGCUGGGCGUGGUGGUUCAUGCCUGUAAUCCCAGCACUUUGGGAGGCUGAGGCAGGUGGGUCACAAGGUCAAGAGUUCAAGACCAGCCUGGCCAACGUGGUGAAAACCCAUCUCUACUAAAAAUACAAAAAUUAGCCAGAUGUGCCGGUGCACACCGGUAAUCCCAUCUACUCAGGAGGCUGAAGCAGGAGAAUUACUUCAACCUGGGAGGCAGAGUUAGCAGUGAGCCAAGAUUGCAUCACUGCACUCCAACCUGGGCAACAGAACAAUUU